rnacentral:rRNA from 1 species
UACGUAGGGGGCAAGCGUUGUCCGGAUUUAUUGGGCGUAAAGAGCGUGUAGGCGGUCAGGUAGGUCCGUUGUGAAAACUCGAGGCUCAACCUCGAGACGCCGAUGGAAACCAUCUGACUAGAGUCCGGAAGAGGAGAGUGAAAUUCCUGGUGUAGCGGUGAAAUGCGCAGAUAUCAGGAAGAACACCCGUGGCUAAGGCGGCUCUCUAGUACGGUACUGACGCUGAGACGCGAAAGCGUGGGGAGCGAACAGG